CAGUCGCCGCGGGAAUACGUAGGUCCCGAGCGUUGUCCGGAUUUAUUGGGCGUAAAGCGAGCGCAGGCGGUUAGAUAAGUCUGAAGUUAAAGGCUGUGGCUUAACCAUAGUACGCUUUGGAAACUGUUUAACUUGAGUGCAAGAGGGGAGAGUGGAAUUCCAUGUGUAGCGGUGAAAUGCGUAGAUAUAUGGAGGAACACCGGUGGCGAAAGCGGCUCUCUGGCUUGUAACUGACGCUGAGGCUCGAAAGCGUGGGGAGCGAACAGGAUUAGAUACCCCCGUAGUCCCUGUCUCUUAUACA
rnacentral:rRNA from 1 species